rnacentral:rRNA from 1 species
CCUACGGGAGGCAGCAGUGAGGAAUAUUGGUCAAUGGACGGAAAUCUGAACCAGCCAUGCCGCGUGCAGGAUGACUGCCCUAUGGGCUGUAAACUGCUUUUCUGAAGGAAGAAAGGUACCUACGCGUAGGUAUUUGCCGGUACUUCAGGAAUAAGGAUCGGCUAACUCCGUGCCAGCAGCCGCGGUAAUACGGAGGAUCCGAGCGUUAUCCGGAUUUAUUGGGUUUAAAGGGUGCGUAGGCGGUAUAAUAAGUCAGUGGUGAAAGUCUGUGACUCAACCAUAGAAGUGCCAUUGAAACUGUUAUACUUGAGUAUAGAUGAGGUAUGCGGAAUGUGUAAUGUAGCGGUGAAAUGCUUAGAUAUUACACAGAACACCGAUUGCGAAGGCAGCAUACUAAGCUAUAACUGACGCUGAUGCACGAAAGCGUGGGUAGCGAACAGGAUUAGAUACCCUGGUAGUCCACGCCGUAAACGAUGAUCACUCGUUGUUGGCGACAUAAAGUCAGUGACUGAGCGAAAGCAUUAAGUGAUCCACCUGGGGAGUACGUUGGCAACGAUGAAACUCAAAUGAAUUGACGGA